AAUACACUAGAGGUAGGCGGAAUGUGACAAGUAGCGGUGAAAUGCAUAGAUAUGUCACAGAACACCAAUUGCGAAGGCAGCUUACUAUGGUGUCAUUGACACUGAGGCACGAAAGCGUGGGGAUCAAACAGGAUUAGAUACCCUGGUAGUCCACGCCCUAAACGAUGAAUACUCGAUGUUGGCGAUAUACGGUCAGCGUCUAAGCGAAAGCGUUAAGUAUUCCACCUGGGGAGUACGCCCGCAAGGGUGAAACUCAAAGGAAUUGACGGGGGCCCGCACAAGCGGAGGAGCAUGUGGUUUAAUUCGAUGAUACGCGAGGAACCUUACCCGGGCUUGAAAGUUAGUGAAUGAGACAGAGACGUCUCAGUCCUUCGGGACACGAAACUAGGUGCUGCAUGGCUGUCGUCAGCUCGUGCCGUGAGGUGUUGGGUUAAGUCCCGCAACGAGCGCAACCCCUAUGUUUAGUUGCCAGCACGUUAAGGUGGGGACUCUAAACAGACUGCCUAUGCAAAUAGAGAGGAAGGAGGGGACGACGUCAAGUCAUCAUGGCCCUUACGUCCGGGGCUACACACGUGCUACAAUGGAUGGUACAGCGGGCAGCUACCUGGCAACAGGAUGCCAAUCUCGUAAAGCCAUUCACAGUUCGGAUCGGGGUCUGCAACUCGACCCCGUGAAGUUGGAUUCGCUAGUAAUCGCGUAUCAGCAAUGACGCGGUGAAUACGUUCCCGGGCCUUGUACACACCGCCCGUCAAGCCAUGGAAGCUGGAAGUGCCUGAAGUGCGUAACCGCAAGGAGCGUCCUAGGGUAAAGUCGGUAACUGGGGCUAAGUCGUAACAAGGUAACCAAGGG
rnacentral:rRNA from 1 species